ACAGUAUAAUUAAUUAAUGUAAAAUUAUAAUAAUAUUACAUUAAUAAAUGUUCAUUUUUUUAAAAUUAGAUUUAAACGGAUGUUUGAAUUGUUUCUGCGCAGUUGGUCAUUUACGGUUAAUGGCGUGUUUUUGGAAUAUUAUUGGCGUUCUGAAUUCUGUGGUUCUGGACUAGUUUGGGGUGGUUCGUUUCCAUUAUCCGUCUGCUACCGAGACUGAAGUGUCCAUCAUUAUUUCUAAUUGGUUAAAACAUGCGAAGAAGAGAUGUAGCUAGGGUUGUAAAUGAAAAAAAGCAUGUGUUUUUUUCUCUCAAAAAUAAAUGGUUUUUUUUUUUUUUUAGAAAAAACUUUGUCCCUAGUUUUUUUUUUCCCACUUUUCAGGUUUUUUUUAUUAUUUUAUAUACUGUAGCUCAUACUUUACAGUUAAUCUUUAUUGUGAAAAAAAUACUUUUUUUUUUGUUUUUUGUAAAAUAAAACAGGUUUUUUUUAUAGAAAAAUGCUUAAAAAAGGCAUUUUUUUUUAUAAACUCUACAUGUAGCACUCUUAAUAAGUAAGUAUAUUUUGUUUAGUGUUUAUUUGUGAUAUGGGCCUCCAGUCAUCAUUAUAAGUUCAGGGUACCUAUUAACUGGGAAACCAGUCGGUCAAAUCUUAUUUAAAAAUUAUGGCUUGGGCUUGUACCCUCAAUAUACGUGUCGUUAGAAAAAUUGUUAAGUGUCAACAUGCUGCCAAUUUUUGAUAUUUUGAAUUAUAUUAAUUUGUUUUCAACUGCUUUGAAUACUAUGUAAAUAAUAUCCACUUUUUUUUAUUUCAUUCAAUAGACCGUACAUAAUGGUAUAGAAUAUGCCAAAAUAAAAUUACAAAUAAACAUAAAUACAAACACACAAACAGGUACAAGAACAGUAUUAAAAGCAUUACAAUAUUAAAAUAAUAUAAUAUAACAGCUGCACUUCCAUGAAUAAGCACCUAUUUAGAUAAUAUGAUAUAUAAAAGAAAAGUAAUACAUAAAAACAAAAUUACGAAGCUACCUCCUGUUCAUAAUCAUUUAUAUUAUAAAAAGCCUUAUGUGAUAAAUAAAGAAAUAAUUCCUUUUUAAAUAAAUUAUAUUGGUCCAUAUUUUUUAGAACUGAUGGUAAUUUAUUGAAUAACCUAAUACCAACAUUUCUAACUGACUGUAAAGUUUUUUUUCUUAUGAACCCUUUGCAGAUGAAAAUCUGCAUUAAUUCGCGUGAAAUGCUCAUGAAUAUUAGUAUUUUUUAUAUAAAUUAAUUUGUUUUUAUGAAUAAAACAAUAAUACUUUGUAAAUAUAAAUACAGGGCACAGUAAGAAGACCUAAGGAUUUAUAAAUAUUACGACAACUGUCCAAACGUUUCAUGUGGAGUAUAAUUCUGAUUAAUUUUUUUUGUAUAAUAAAAACUGAUUGUAGAUGAUGUCUAUUACUACCCCAAAACAUAAUUCCAUAGCUUAUUAAAGAAUAAACAUAGCCAAAGUAGGCAGACCAUAGGCAUUGUUUGGUAGUUAUAUGAGAAAGUACUUUAAACAUAUAACACAUACUGUUUAAUUUAUUUAGCAAACCAAACGUAUGUUUGUCCCAUGAUAAAAAUUCAUCAAUCUCAAGUCCAAGGAAUCGUGAAAGUGCCACAAAAUUUAAGUUAGUAUUUUUUAACAGAGUAUUUGGUUUAUUUGAUUUUAAUUUAGAGGGAAAAAAAAUAAAAUUUGUUUUACCAUAAUUCAGUAGCAGUUUAUUAUUUGUAAACCAAGAGUUUAAUGUAUGUAGUGUAUUCAUAACCAGAGCAUCAAGUUUAGAAGCUGGAUUGGCUUUAACCAGUACAUUAGUAUCAUCUGCAAAAGAAAUGAUAGGAAUAUCGGUAAAAUGAUAACUUAGAUCAUUUACAUGGACCAGAAAAAGAAGUGGCCCUAAAAUGCUACCUUGAGGAACUCCUACAUUCAUAAGUUUAGGUAGGGAAUUAUAAGACUCUAAUAUAUUGUUACUAUUGACUCUAGUAACUUGAACUAUCUGCAUUCUGUUUGUGAGAUAAGACUUCAACAAUUUAUUGACUACACAUCUAAUUCCCAAAUUAUAUAAUUUAUCAAUAAGUAAUUUAUGAUCUACUGUGUCGAAAGCUUUGGACAGAUCAAGAAAAAUACCAACAACAUCCUCUGAUCUGUCCUUGCGUUACUUGUUUAAGUGAUUUUGAGUUGUAAAAAAAAAAAAAAAAAAAAAAAUGAAAAA